GGAGGAGGCAAUGACGAUUCCAAGCAAAGAACACCCAAAUAACUUCCGUCCAGAAACACAAUGAAGAACAACAAAUCUCAAAUCUCAAAUCACAUCCGCAUCCGAUAUCAUAUCAUCUUUAUGAUGCCGUACUUAAAGAGCAAAUGGAGAUUGCAAAAUUAAAGCAGAAGGAGAGUUGCUGAACAGGGGUACUGAUCGACUCAUCGACUUGCAGAAGAUGAAAUAUUCAUGGAGCGUGGCAUGUGAAGUAUUGAUCGAGGUUGUUGCCACCAAUUUUGGGAACGUUUAGAGAGACCAUUACCGACUUCGCCUAUGAAGGGUAUCUGAUUCCAAAAGGAAUGAAGGUCAAUCGGUACACUGGAAUAUGUAUGCCACACAUAAAAACCCGGAAUACUUCCAGGAUCCAGAGAAGUUCGACCUCUAUCGAGGUUCCAAGGACAAGGACCAGCACAUUAUUCAUAUAUAUGUUUCUCUUGGAGGAGGACCUCGAAUGUGAUAAACCAAUCAUUAAUUGAUCAAGCUGCAUGACUUAUCUUCUGUUAUCUAAUACUCAUCAAUAUAUAUACAAUCGUCAGCAACAAUUCUUGGUGGGCUUGACAACACUUCAUUCAAAUCCUUUAUGGUAUCACGAGCCUAAAACGUCCAACAAUUUUUUUUUCCCUUCACCCACCCUUCCCAUGGCUACUGCUCCAUUAUCGUCAUCCACCUCUGCUAGGGUCACUUCCUCCACUCAAUCUUCCACCAUUUCCACCUCCACUCAAUCCUCCACCAUGUCAACCACAUCAUCACCUGAGACCUCUCCCUCUGUUACCAAUUUUCUGUCCAUCAAAUUGGAUCGUACCAAUUAUGCACUCUGGUUGGCUCAAAUUCUGCCCAAUCUCAAGGGUAGAAAACUGAUGGGAUAUGUCGAUGGCACUUCUCGUUGUCCCCCUUCCUUUAAAACCGAUGUUGCAGGUCAAUUCACAGAUGAAAUCAACCCUGCCUAUGAUCUUUGGAUGGCACAAGACCAGAUGGUGCUUGGUUGGAUUAACAACUCACUCACACCAGCCGUGCUUGCUACCGUUGCUCGCUCUACUACCUCUUUCUUCACCUGGUCUUCCUUGGCCAAGCGGUUUGCUUCUCAGUCACAUAAUAGAAUUUUGCAGCUUCGAGAUGAUCUUCUUCGUAUUAUGAGGGGUACGUAAUAUGAGUAUUUCAGAUUUUUUGGAUAAAAUCAACUCUAUUGCGGAUAACCUAGCACUUGCUGGCAGUCCAAUGAAUGAUAAUGAUUUGGUAUCAAUAAUUAUGAAUAAUGUUGGUCCAAUGUACGAGACUACUAUUAGUUCUGCUCAGGCUAGGGAUACCCCUAUCACAUAUGACUCUCUUGAGGCCCUCUUACUUUAUGCUGAUCGAAGACUCCAAGAUCAACAACAAGCUGCUCUUGAUGUAAGUUCUAUGACCACUGCUUUCCAUGCUACUCAAAUCUCUAACCACGGACGUGGUCGUGGUCGGUCUUCUCAAAUCUCUAACCACGGACGUGGUCAUGGUCGGUCUUCUAUGUCCCCUUUUGGCACCCGAAACUCUCCAUCUCUAUUUGGGCGUUGUGUCUCUAAUCCUCGUGGGUCUCAUUCCUUUGCUGGCCCUCAUCGUGGAUUCUCUAGUGGCUCAUCUAUUUUGGGACCUCAUCCCUCCUCAACAAAUGCAUCUCUUCAAGGUCAUCCUACAUGUCAGAUUUGUAAUCGUAUGGGUCACUCUGCCCUUGACUGUUACAAUCAUCUGAACCUCUCAUUCGAAGGAUGUAUUCCAACAAAGAAGCUUAGUGCUAUGGCAGCUUCUACAUCUUCUACAUCCUCAUCUACUUGGCUUCUGGACAGUGGUGCCAACGCUCAUAUCACCUCGAGUUUGAGCAACUUGUAGAAUCCUAAGGAAUAUCAUGGUUCUGAUCAUAUUAAUGGUAUAGGUAACACCACAGGUUUAUCUAUUUCUCAUAUUGGUUCAUCUACUCUCAAAACUGACUCUCCUUGCAGAAUUUCGUACAUCUAUUGAAAAUUUAUUCUCAAGGAAAAUUAAAAUGUUUCAAUCUGAUGAACGUGGUGAACAUACAUCUCAUAAUUUUCUUAACUAUUUAUGCAGGUGAUCCAGAUAAUCGACAAUCUAUAGGUGGUUAUUGUGUUUAUUUGGGUCCGAAUUUGAUUUCAUGGAGUUCAAAGACUCAUAAAAUUAUUUCUCGAUCGAGUGCCGAAGCAGAGUACCGCCAACUAGCAUUUACUGCAGCUAAGAUUUCAUGGCUUCGUUCAAUGUUCUGUGAUCUUAGUUUAUUUCUCCAAUGUCCUACCAUUUGGUGUGAUAAUCUCUCCGCGAUUGCUAUAGCUUCGAAUCCCGUCUUUCAUGCUCGCACAAAGCAUGUUGAGGUCGAUUACCAUUAUGUUCGGGAAAAAGUUGUCAAUAAGGAACUUCAAGUCUUGUUUGUUUCUACUACAUAUCAGGUAGCUGACAUCUUUACAAAAGAUCUGUCAUCCUCCAUGUUUCAUUUUCUUGUCUCCAAGCUUCCUGUUCAUCCUAGACCACUCAGCUUGCGGGGGAGUGAUAAACCAAUCAUUAAUUGAUCAAGCUGCAUGACUUAUCUUCUGUUAUCUGAUACUCACCAUUGUAAUUAUCUUCUCUUCUCCUAAACGUACAAGUAGAUACAUUUCUGUUUGCUAGUCUUAUCUUUCCUAUAUGUAGAGUCUCACACUCCUAAUACAAUUGUACUUGUAAGUUACUCAUCAAUAUAUAUACAAUCGUCAGCCAUAAUUCUUGGUGGGCUUGACAACACUUCA